rnacentral:lncRNA from 1 species
GUCGCCUAAGAGGUGGACACAGCUCCCGAGGACUUACGCUAGAAGCCAAGCCAGUCUCCUCACCUGAAAAAUGGGAAGAGCAAAAUAUCCUACCCUAGAGGGUUGCUGUGAGAGCCGAAAGCGUCUAUCCACGUGAAGCACAUGGGACAGAGCCUGGCACAAAGAAAAUGCUUCCCAGCUCCAUCAGCCCACCGCCCCCUCUGGCCUUCCCUCAAGAGCAGCCACUGGGCCUUGGUUGCCAUGGAGACAGUUUCCCUCAGAGGCUUUGCCUCCCAUCUUCUUUUCUUUUCUUUUCUUUUUUCUUUUUUUUUAAUUUGAGACAAGAUCUCGCUUUGUCACCCGGCCUGGAGUGCAGUAGUGCAAUCACGACUCACUGCAGCCUUGACCACCCAGGCUCAAGCAGUCCUCCCACCUCAGCCUCUCAAGUAGCUGGGACUACAGGCAUGCACCACCAUGCCCAGCACAGGUGGAAGCCGGGAUCUUAGAAGAUUGUUGUAGUAAUCCUGGUGAGAUGAGGUGGUGGCUUGGACCAAGAUGCUCAUGGCCAGUGAUGACAAAUGGGUGGACUCAAGACCUACUUUGAAUGUACAGUCAACAUGCUGCUCACCAGGAAGUGGAGUGCAAGAAAAUGUUGUCAAGAAUGACUCCUAGGCCAGCCACGGUGGCUCGUGACUAUAA